UAUUACUGUCAAUUUCUAAAGCAGAUGAAAAUUAGGUUCCCUUUUAUCUGGAUUGCUGGUCUUUUGAUUGAGUAUUAGACAAACUGUGACUAAUUAUAUUUCUGAGUGUAUAUAAAAAGUGUUGUGUAAAUUCAAGUAUUCAGUUUUGAAAAUAUAACAUUAUUCAAUGGUGCUAGCAGAGACAAGGUCAUGUGUUGGAUUCCCAAGAAAUGCAUGGAUUAACAUUCUUUUGAAUGAGAUGUACUGUAAAUUUGGAUUGAAUGUAGAUAUAUACACACAAGUUCAGCAUUUCUAACUGUAUAUGUAGGUUUAUAAAUAUAAAAGACAUCUGUGGUAAGUGGGGGAACACAAAGUUUUGAAUGAAUCAUUGCCAUAUGGGGACAUCUGUAGCCCUCUGUUUUUCUGUUCAUCGAGUGCAUGUGAUAAACGGUCUCAUUCCCAGUUGUACAAAGGUAAAUCUAUAGGGACCACGUGUGUGCUUCUGCACGCAUCUGUCUGCACAUUGGUGCAGUUUUUCUGCUACUUCAAAGUCAAGCAACACACCCCCAGCUCUGCCCUGUUGUGGCUCACUAAUGAUUAGUACAUGAGUGUUUCUAUUCAUAUGCAGCCAACCUCAACAGAGAGCGAAUUCCUGCUGACGAAAAUUACACAGCAUUGCAAGCUAUUGCACUAGAAGCCCUGUUUCAGAUGUGCAUACUGUAGACAGGAAAUGACACUGUGUGGUAAUAGCAGGACAGACAUGACAGCUUGUUGUCAUUAUUUUUCAUCUCUCUCUUCAGCCCCUGCUGCGGAUCGGCAUGCCCCACACAGAGAGAUGGACUCCCAGUAAAAGCUAAUCCUUCACCCUCCGUGUUCUCCAGCUGCUACAAUGGCCAUUCUAGCUCAAAGGACUUGUCAACAACUGGGAAAACUGAAAGCCCUUUUGUUGUGAGUUUGUCUGCAUUAUCUAAAGUGUCCUCAAACCACUCAAUGAAGAACAGGGGUGGACUAUCUGUCAGCCCUGUGCUGUAUAAAAUGUGACUUUUAGCAUUAGUUUGAAUUGUUUGGUUCAAUAAAUGACAGCAGCACUGAUUCUCUGAAAAAUAA
ensembl:lncRNA